GGGACGUUAGCUCAGCUGGCAGAGCAAAAGGCUUUUAACCUUUAGGUCCUCGGUUCGAACCCGAGACGUCCCACCA
rnacentral:tRNA from 1 species